AAACGGCGGUGAUGAUCGAUGUACAGCUUCAAAUGCCAGUUCUGCUUCAGAAAAUUCUUGAUUGAUAGAGCUGUUUAUAUUGUCUGAGCCCUUC
rfam:Eucalyptus grandis cultivar BRASTZ1 unplaced genomic scaffold scaffold_11, whole genome shotgun sequence.